CCUACGGGUGGCAGCAGUGGGGAAUAUUGCCCAAUGGGGGAAACCCUGAUGCAGCGACGCCGCGUGAGUGAAGAAGUGUUUCGGUAUGUAAAGCUCUAUCAGCAGGGAAGAAGAAAGACGGUCCCUGACUAAGAAGCGCCGGCUAACUACGUGCCAGCAGCCGCGGUCAUAAGUAGGGGGCAAGCGUUAUCCGGAUUUACUGGGUGGAAAGGGAGGGUAGACGGCGGUGCAAGUCUGAGGUGAAGGCCCAGGGCUCAACCCUGGGACUGCUUUGGAAACGGUGGAGCUAGAGUGCUGGAGAGGUAAGUGGAAUUCCUAGUGUAGCGGUGAAAUGCGUAGAUAUUAGGAGGAACACCAGUGGCGAAGGCGGCUUACUGGACAGUAACUGACGUUGAGGCUCGAAAGCGUGGGGAGCAAACAGGAUUAGAUACCCGAGUAGUC
rnacentral:rRNA from 1 species